AGCAGCCGCGGUAAUUCCAGCUCCAAUAGCGUAUAUUAAAGUUGUUGCAGUUAAAAAGCUCGUAGUUGAAUUUCGGGAUCAAUACGUCGGUCGUGCUUCGGUACGUACUGGCGUAAUUGAUUUCUCCCUUCUGACGAACCAUGAUGUCAUUAACUUGGUGUCAUGGGGAAUCAGGACUGUUACUUUGAAAAAAUUAGAGUGUUUAAAGCAGGCUCACGCUUGAAUACAUUAGCAUGGAAUAAUGAAAUAGGACGUUCGAUCCUAUUUUGUUGGUUUUUAGGAUCAACGUAAUGAUUAAUAGGGAUAGUUGGGGGCAUUAGUAUUCAAUUGUCAGAGGUGAAAUUCUUGGAUUUAUUGAAGACUAACUACUGCGAAAGCAUUUGCCAAGGAUGUUUUCAUUAAUCAAGAACGAAAGUUAGGGGAUCGAAGACGAUCAGAUACCGUCGUAGUCUUAACCAUAAACUAUGCCGACUAGGGAUCGGAUGAUGUUAAUUUUUUAAUGACUCAUUCGGCGCCUUACG
rnacentral:rRNA from 1 species